rnacentral:lncRNA from 1 species
GAGGGGUUUACAUGACUCGGAGCUAAGGCCUCCUGCCAGCAGCCAUGUGAGCGAGCAUCUUGGGGGCAGAACCUCCAGCCUCAGCCUUUGGGUGACUGCAGACUGCAAGCCAAUUGCUUCACCUGCAGGCCUUGAGCCAAAACUGCCCAACUACCCAACUAAGCUCCUCUGGGAUCCCUGACCCUCAGAAAAUGGCAGACAAACAUGAGCCAGUGUGAACCAGAGGAAGACCUGAGACUUUGGAUGAAUCAGAAUCAGCCAAAAAAGUUCAUCUGGCAACUCCUGCGAACUGACCGUCAUCCAGAGGAACAGCUGUGAUGUCCACAGGGCACCCAGGCAUUCUGAAGAGCCACUGGCAUUGAGAAAGGGGCAGUGACAUUUCCCCCAGCCUGUCCUUCCUUCCCGGCUCCUGAUGGGGAAGCUGAGGCACGGAGAGGCAGCUGGCCCAAGGUUACACAGGUUGCAAGUGGCAGCAGAACCAAGAUUUACACCGUGAGCAUCAGUGGGCUUAUCCUUAGCACCUCACUUGGGGAGGACACUGCAAUUAAUGUGAUUUUUCAAAUGGAAUCUUGAAAACCUUCAUGAAACACUGAAUUGGCAUGAUCCCUGACAUGGGUGGAUAAGUCAGGCAUCAGAACACUUAGCAGUCAUCUUUCGCUCUGUAACAAACCAUCCCCAAACUUCAAGCAGACUAAGAUGCAUGGGGAUCCAGAAGACCCAGCUUUGUCAGUGCGAAGCCGUCUCAGCGGAAACAGAAAUAUGACUCAGGAGCUUGUCCUUCUGGGCAUUCAGAUGCUUGUGUUCCCCCACUUCCUCCCUGAUACCUCCUUUCCGCCCCUUCUUCCUGACUCUCUUCUGUGGCUUCAUCACUGCCUGCUUCCAGAUAUUUUCUCUGUUCAGGCAGCCCUGCAAGCACCUGGCAGGGAUGACAAAUGAGCCUGCCUUCCUGGGCGACGUGACUGUCCAGAAACACAGCCUGGAGCAUGCACAAUGCAGCAGCUUCCACGCACAGCGCAAAUGCCGGAAUGCGCUGCAGGGUUGGAGAGAGGUCACUGUUGCAGAAACCCAACGCUGUUUGAGUCUGGCAUUCGAGGCUCUAGCCAGCUUUGCUUAAUUAGAGGAAUAAGCAAAUAGGUACCCCGGAGUAGCUUCUGGAUUGUCUCAACAGACUGAAAUGUCCAGUGGCCAGUGUGCCUGACAGAAUGCGGAAGGCGAGAGAACAGCAUAUGGCAGAAUGAGCCUGCAGCCCCAGAGAAAUCUCCCUCAGUCCCCACUCCAUCUGUGCUUGCGGGGCACCUCUCCCCACAGCACAGAGAUGCUGAGCUCAAGGCAGGAGCCGUGCAUGACGGGAAAAUGCAGAAGGAGCUUUGUGUCGUGCCACGCAUCAACAAAACACGUCCGUUCCACAGCACACAUCUCAAACCCAGAGCCAUGUGCACGGAGGGUGUUCCCACAGAGUCUUUGAGGUCAGGGCACAGGAAAGCUUCCUGGAUGAAGACAAUGUGAAAUGACUGCUGAACUGCGUCGGCGCUUGGCGUCGGGGUCUGGGGAAGGACGUGCUGUGCAGAUUAUUGGCCUCCUGAGGAACAUGAGGAACACAAUCGGGCGGCCGGGGUCCUGAGAGGGCUCCAGGCAGGCAAACCACUGGCUGAAGGAUUUCUCAGGCGUGCUUUCAACCCAAACAGUCUUGCUGACAGAGGGUGAAAGAGAGAAAAAUGGAGCCAGUGACUGGUGUUUUGUUAUGCUAAGUGUGCUGUCAGGGGACUUUUUAUUAGUGGGCAGUCACGGUUUCUCCAAAUGUAGGAAAACAUUUUGUCCUUGUGUUUUGUAUCCAUCUUCUUUCCUCAAGCCAUGUCCAGGGCUCUGAUUCUCUCCUGUCUUGAUUGCUGGACCCCAGGCCACGAGCUGCUCCUGGCUGCCAGCACAGAAAGGGCAUGGCAGGAGGGCAGAGAGCAGAGGGACGAGAGGCAGGGCUUGGGGACAUGCCAACCCCACUGCAGCACUGUUCUCCCUCCACCUCUUCUCCACACCACACACACACCCACACAUCACACACCCAUCCCUACACGCCACACACACCACACACACACACUCACACCACCCAUACAAUAUACAUACAUGCUACACACACAGUAUACACACACACACCGCCCUGGAAAGCAUUCCUCAGUUACUGACCUAGGACUUCGUACUGCUGCCUCCAUCAGGGUCUUCCCGAAAGCCUAGAGGUAUGCUUCAGUUCCAGACUUUCUUAGGAACUCUUGCUUGCUUUCCAAGCUGGAAGUCCUGAGUUUGGUCAGAGCUUAGUUAACACUAACAUAACCGGUUCCUUGUACUGUUACAUUAGGGAAACUUAUCAGUGAAUGGUGGCAACACGGGAUAAAACUGAGGAGGGGCUUGGUUUCUGCCCCCACCUCAGCCAGUGUCUUAGAGGUCACGAAACCUUUUUAUUUGCCUUUUUACUAAUUUUUUUCUGAUAAAUGAUCAAUACUUUCUUCCUCUCUGUUGCUGAAGAAUUUCAGAAAAAUAAACUUGUGAAAAGAUCAUCAAAAG